UCUACUCAACCUCCAGUUUUUUAAACGCACUCCGCACUCCUUACGUGGCGAACUCGGUCUAGAGCCACAUCACGGUUUUUUCACCCAAUUUCAAAUCAGUCAGUGGAACCAGCGUCAUUCUCCUCAGACCAUCUUCGAACGCUCUCCCUUAGUCCUCCUCCCUCUCACGAUGCCGUUCGGCUCUCCCUCAGACCAUCUCCGAUCUCUUGCUCAACUCCUCCCUCUCAGAUGCGUCGGCUUCUUCUUCUUCUAUCUCACCCCUUCUGUCUCACCCGAACCCUAGAAAAUUUCUUCUCCAGCUAGAACCACGAACACACGGCGAGAAAAUUUCUUCAGCACGCCGAGAAAAUUUAUUCACCACUCGCAGAGAAAAUUUCCUCUUCUUCUCCCUCUCUCUCUCUCUCACCCAUUCUCUUCUCUCUCACCGAUCUCUCACCCCUUCUCUUCUCUCUCACCGAUCUGUCAGCCCUGCGCUCCCAUUCACCCCUUCUUUCCGAAAGCCCCAAGCCGGUAGACCGAUUCGUCCAAGGUAUGUUUUUUAGUUGUUUUUUCAAUUCGCAUUGCCAAAUCGCUGUCUCCACCGUACAUGCCUACAUUGGAUCCCAAUCUUAAGUAAAAAUAUGUCUAGGAAGCUGGAUUGAAAUGGCUAGGUCUGCUCAUUUGUUUGGUUUUGUAUAAAAUGGGUUGACUUGAUGUGCUGAGAGAAUGUUAGCAAAUUUUUGUUAAUUUCUUCACAUUGUAUUUUUUUUUCGGGAAUUUCUUCUCAUGUAAUUUUUCUGUUUCGAUGUAGACUUUGUCUCAUGUAAUUUUUCUGUUAUGCUACGUGUUGUGUUGCUUUAUGUGGAUAUAAUAUUGCAUUUCUGGAAGUAAGGUUGGCAACAUCUUAGGAGUAUUUUGUGGCCUUGCCAAUAUACAUGUGUUGUGAAUUUGGGAGUUGGUGUGGGUUUGGAGUAGAAAUUUUGACGUAUGCCAUUUCCUCUGAAGUUCCUAUAUUUGCUAGUGUUUUGGUAUAGUAAUGUUAGAAGUCCUGGAAUUAAUGCUUUGUGUUGAUAUUUGGAAUUGAUCCUGGAAUUUGACCCGAGUAGAAAAUUUUUAACUAGUUUUCAGGUUAAGUUCUUAUACUUGAUAGUGUGGAUUUGAGGUAUAUGUUUGUGGACAACCCUGUUAUAAUAGGGAAGUCAACAAACGUAUUACUACCCUACUGCCCCAUUCUUUAUUUGGGGAUGAAUGUUUCUAUUGCUAAAGCAGGAAACAUCGUUCUUAUUCACAUCGUUUAUUUUUCAAGAUAUUGUUGGUAUUCAGUUCUAUAUAACUUGAUUAUUUUUUUUUUUGGGUAUGCGAAAGCAGGAAUGGAGUAAGGUUGGCAAUGGCAUGUGCUUUGAUUCCCAGAAUGCAAUACAAUUACCUUGUUGGUAGCAUUUUAAAUCUGUUUUUGCUUGUUAGCAUUUUAUAGUUUUAUCUACUACACCCAUCGGUAUUUAUACAUGUUCUCUUUAAAAAAUUAUGUAACACUUAUGUGAACAAAGUGUUGCACCCAGAUUUAUACUUGCCUCGUGGUUUAUAUGAUGCUCGAGUUGUUUAAAUCAUUAUUUAUAUUCUGUUUUAUAUAAUGCUUCUAUCUUGCAAUAAUUAUGAAAAUGAAUCCUAACCAUUAAUAAUUCUGUUUUGCACUUAAAAAGUAGUCAAUGCUACCUUAUUGCUUAAUAUUUUUGUCAAGUAAAUUACUAUGAUCAUCAUGUAGAUCAACUAUGGCAUCAAGUCAAUCAUCAUCCACUGUAGUUAAUGAUGUUGAAAUUGAAUCACCGAAUUGUUGGUGUGGGUUGAAAUCGCCAUUAAAGAUCUCCCACACCCACAAAAAUCCUGGAAGGAAAUUUUAUGCUUGUCCGAAUUAUUACACGGGAGAACCAAGAUGUCAAUUCUUCAUUUGGGAAGAUAUAUUUCAAUCAGUAGUACGUGAGAAUGUAAACAAGACAAGAGAGAAUGAACUUCGGAAGAGAGAGGAUGCUUUACUGUUGCGUGAAUAUGAAGCUCAAAAAGAAAAGGAUAGACUACUGGACAGAGAGCACAUGGUUAACAAGCAAGAGGGCGAACUGGGAAGAAGGAUAUUAGAGAAUAGGAUUGGCCGUAUUCUGUUGUGUAUAUUUUGGAUUUUAUCUCUUGUAAAAUCUUGGUUCUAAAUGUUCAUGUAUCGAAUUAGUUUUAGAUGUAAAUGACAUUAUCUUAUCCUAAGCCAGAUGUACAAUUAUGACAACUUGGUGUGGAUAUUAAUUUUGCAUGACACUCCGUAAGGUUGGCAAGAUUUUUGGACUAUUGUAUUGCCUUGCCAAGAUUUUGUACUUGUCAGUAUCAUCUUGCUUUGUAAUAUCCACUGAUUUUGAGUUGUUUUAUGCAUUUACAUGCCUACAUUUACACUUUGUAUGCAUGUCAUGUGCUUUGCCAAUUGAA